AGCUGUACAUUCCAGUGGAUCAGUGAUUGCUGCAAGAUAUACAGCAAUGUGAAUUUUAAGAGAAAACUGCUUUCUGGAUGUUAUUUGAGCUAGCAGCUGUCCAAAAUCCUCAGCUCACCUCUUACCAAGAAAGAGCAUGUCAGAUCCAAACUGAACUUCUUGGAAAAGAGAACUCGGCCAGUGAACCCAUUUUCACAUCAGUGUAAUGACCUUAACAAAAAUGAAGGUGGACCAAGGAAAACUUGCAGGGUUUAUGAAGAGUUCUGCACUAUCUUUUCAACCACUGAAUUCUCCACUGCUCUGGGUCUGACAAUGCAAACUGUAAUUGUGAAGAUGAAUCCAGUCUGGAUUACCUUUUACACAGAAAUUGCCACAGCUCAUGAAACUUCAUCUGGUUACAACUAAUGCAAUGGAACUGCGUGAAUUAAUCUCAGGUAGCUGGAGAGAACAAUGAGGAUUCCACUCAGCCUUAUGACUGUGCCUUCUCUGACAGCUGCAUACAGAAGAUAAUGCUGAGACGGAAGGAGUCCAGAGAGAGUUUAAAGACAGUUGUUAAAGCUCUCCAUUUGUGUUAUGAAGUUUUACAAAGGUCCUGUUUUGGAAUGGAU
rnacentral:lncRNA from 1 species